rnacentral:rRNA from 1 species
AUGCCUAACACAUGCAAGUCGAACGAGACCUUCGGGUCUAGUGGCGCACGGGUGCGUAACGCGUGGGAAUCUGCCCCUCGGUUCGGAAUAACUCAGGGAAACUUGAGCUAAUACCGGAUGAUGACUUCGGUCCAAAGAUUUAUCGCCGAGGGAUGAGCCCGCGUAGGAUUAGGUAGUUGGUGGGGUAAUGGCCCACCAAGCCGACGAUCCUUAGCUGGUCUGAGAGGAUGAUCAGCCACACUGGGACUGAGACACGGCCCAG